UGUAUAAAAAUUCUGCAUCGUGAAAUCUUGUUACAACCCUAAUUGUUAAAAAAUAAAAUUAGUGGUGCCUCAAAUAUCCAUUAUGUGCUCUGCCAAAAAAGAGCACAGCAUCAUUAACUAAAACUGAAAAUGUCAUCUGAAGGAUCUGCGCAUAUAUAUUAUUUCAAAUGCAUCUUCUUAGCUUCUAGCUGUGUGUAAACUAAAACAAUUUUCAACCAAAUUUCUUCACAAAUCAUGUAAAUCUUAUUAUCUAAUUUCUUUUGAAAUUAUCACUUAGACUAUUUAUGUUGUUUUAGGUACUGCCAACACCACUAAAAUAAAAAACAGAAAUGUCUGCAAUGCUUAACACAAAAUUAAUUAGAAAAAGAGAGUGAGAGAGCAACAGAGGAUCCACUGGAGUCAAUGGAAAGAAUUCAAGUCACCUACAAAGGACUUUGGAUCAAGCUUUUAAUCACAGUUCUAAUCCUGCUGUCAGCUGUAGCAAGUGAUAAACGCUUCGCUAAUGUUAUCUAGGUAUCCCUCCACCAAGUGCACGACAAGGACUUUCCCGUUCCCAGUACAAUGCAGACUAUGGGCAAGGACUACAGCAAUAAAGCAGCAGCAACCAGCAUACAUUCAGCUGAUGCUAUGUCCAGAUGAAAGCAGUUCAGAUGAAGGGAAGCAGUCAAGCUGUUUGAACAGUACAGAUAUGUACCUACACAAGGGCACAUUGUGUUCACAAUGACAUUUUGUUGCAUAGAGUGUUACCAGUUUGUUGUCACUAUGCUCUUUAACUCUGUAAAGAGGAGGAAAUCCCUCCAAUAUAGUCAAUAA